GAUGAACGCUGGCGGCGUGCCUAAUACAUGCAAGUCGAGCGAACAGACGAGGAGCUUGCUCCUCUGACGUUAGCGGCGGACGGGUGAGUAACACGUGGAUAACCUACCUAUAAGACUGGGAUAACUUCGGGAAACCGGAGCUAAUACCGGAUAAUAUAUUGAACCGCAUGUUUCAAUAGUGAAAGACGGUUUUGCUGUCACUUAUAGAUGGAUCCGCGCCGCAUUAGCUAGUUGGUAAGGUAACGGCCUACCAAGGCAACGAUGCGUAGCCGACCUGAGAGGGUGAUCCGCCACACUGGAACAUAGACACGGUCCAGACUCCUACGGGAGGCAGCAGUAGGGACUCUUCCGCAAUGGGCGAAAGCCUGACGGAGCAACGCCGCGUGAGUGAUGAAGGUCUUAGGAUCGUAAAACUCUGUUAUUAGGGAAGAACAAAUGUGUAAGUAACUAUGCACGUCUUGACGGUACCUAAUCAGAAAGCCACGGCUAACUACGUG
rnacentral:rRNA from 1 species